UUGGAGGGCAAGUCUGGUGCCAGCAGCCGCGGUAAUUCCAGCUCCAAUAGCGUAUAUUAAAGUUGUUGCAGUUAAAAAGCUCGUAGUUGAAUUUCGGGAUCAAAUUGUCGGUCGUGCCUCGGUACGCACUGGUAUUAUUGGUUCCUACCUUCUGAAGAACCGCGAUGUCAUUAAUUUGGUGUCGUGGGGAAUCAGGACUGUUACUUUGAAAAAAUUAGAGUGUUUAAAGCAGGCUUACGCUUGAAUACAUUAGCAUGGAAUAAUGAAAUAGGACGUUUGAUUCUAUUUUGUUGGUUUCUAGGAUUGACGUAAUGAUUAAUAGGGAUAGUUGGGGGCAUUAGUAUUCAAUUGUCAGAGGUGAAAUUCUUGGAUUUAUUGAAGACUAACUACUGCGAAAGCAUUUGCCAAGGAUGUUUUCAUUAAUCAAGAACGAAAGUUAGGGGAUCGAAGACGAUCAGAUACCGUCGUAGUCUUAACCAUAAACUAUGCCGACUAGGGAUCGGAUGAUGUUAAUUUUUAAUGACUCAUUCGGCGCCUUACGGGAAAC
rnacentral:rRNA from 1 species